rnacentral:lncRNA from 1 species
CAAACCUCCAGAGGGAAAAUAAAAUUAAUCUAUUAAUUGCCUGGGAUUUCUCAAUGUAAUAAUGAGGUACAGCAGUGUGCCAUUCCUUCAGCUCAUCUUGGCUGCAAAGUAAGGCUGGGAAUACUUAAUAAGGUUGGGGAUUCAGGCCUUAUGAGAAAAUAGUUCUCGGUGAUGUUGUAGAAGAAGGAUGAUGGAGAAAAACUUAAGCUGGGGACCAGGAUGGACUGAGAGGAGAGCCUGAAAAAAAAUGACUCCAAGAAACUCUACCAGUGAUUCCAGUGGAAAAGACUGCCUGAAGGCUUUGCAGUGUAUUAGGUACAACCUUACUCUAGCUGCAGUGCAGAGCUGCAUCUCUGCAGGGCAUCUCAGGGGGAGACUUUGCAACGUAUAAGAAAUCAGCAAAAGCUUCUGCAGUGUGGAGAAGGGUGAUCACCACGG